GACGUAGGGCGCGAGCGUUGUCUGGAUUUAUUGGGCGUAAAGAGCUCGUAGGCGGCUUGUCGCGUCGUUCGUGAAAACCUGCAGCUCAACUGCAGGCUUGCGGUCGAUACGGGCAGGCUAGAGUUCGGUAGGGGAGACUGGAAUUCCUGGUGUAGCGGUGAAAUGCGCAGAUAUCAGGAGGAACACCGGUGGCGAAGGCGGGUCUCUGGGCCGAUACUGACGCUGAGGAGCGAAAGCGUGGGGAGCGAACAGG
rnacentral:rRNA from 1 species